ACGGAGGGUGCAAGCGUUAUUCGGAAUUACUGGGCGUAAAGCGUGCGCAGGCGGUUUUGUAAGACUGAUGUGAAAGCCCCGGGCUUAACCCGGGAACUGCCAUGGUAACUGCAGGUCUGGAGUACUGCAGAGGAUGAGGGAAUUCCCGGUGUAGAGGUGAAAUGCGUAGAUAUGCGGAGGAAGAUCGAUGGCGAAGGCGCCCAUCUGGACGGUAACUGACGCUGAUGCGCGAAAGCGUGGGGAGCAAACAG
rnacentral:rRNA from 1 species